rnacentral:lncRNA from 1 species
GAGAAGGUUUGUGCUAGGAACUGUAAAAAAAUACAAUCACUCAGCUGACGAGCAGGCUCCUUAUCGUGGGUACACGAGAGGGACCAGCUGAGACAGGCUGUCUAGACAUUGCAGAUGUGGACAGAUGUUGGGUCUGUAAUCACCCUGUAACAGGGCCCAGACCCCUCCAUCAGUUCCCAACCUGCAGCCUCUCCCUGAGCAGACUUUGUGAUUUGUGGUGCAGACCACCCAGGGACUUUAAUCUUCACCGUGACAAAUGCAAUAAAAGGAACAAUUUGGAGA